GGCGGCUUGGUCAGGGCUUGAUCGGCACCGUCGACGCCGGCGCCUCCGGCUUGGCCGGCGCGGGCGUCGCCGGUGCAGCCGCCGGCUGUCC
rnacentral:tRNA from 1 species